UACGUAGGUGGCAAGCGUUGUCCGGAUUUACUGGGCGUAAAGAGCGCGCAGGCGGCCAAGUCAGUCGAAUGUGAAAGCCCCCGGCUUAACUGGGGAGGGUCAUUCGAUACUGCUCGGCUCGAAGACAGGAGAGGGAAGUGGAAUUCCCGGUGUAGUGGUGAAAUGACGUAGAUAUCGGGAGGAACACCAGUGGCGAAGGCGACUUUCUGGCCUGUUCUUGACGCUGAGGCGCGAAAGCUAGGGGAGCAAACGGGG
rnacentral:rRNA from 1 species